UGUAUAGUGGCAGUUUUUAUUCCUGUCCCAUCACUGCUCUCUGCUAACACUGGCCCAGAUUUCUCUCUAGCAGUCCUGGGCUUGAUAGGGUGUGAAGGGCCAGGGUUCUCUGCGUGGUUGUAGGUUACCACAACACAUUGCUGGCCAUCACUACACUUCCUAGGACAUGUGGCUUCCUGGAUAAGGACUGCACAGAAGCACUGGCUCCUGCCACUUCCAUUGUUAGGAAAGAACCAUCAAGCACGUCUGGUGUCAGGAUUUAAAAGGAGAGCAACGUGUACAAAACGGUUGAAUAUUCUGUGUUCCCACCGCUUAUCAUCAAAGGGACUUGUGCUUCAACCAGGGCUGAAGGAGUCUGCAACAAAGACACAGUCCUGCCCUUACAACAGCACGGCACGGUGCCACAUGAAUGCCUGUGAUGUUGUAAAUACAGUAUUAUGAUGUCACUGCAGGAUCACUGGGCAGCAGAGGCUGGAGCUGGGGAAAAGUGAGUGCCCUGAGCAGAAUACAAAGGAUCUUUGAUCACUGGCAAACAUGAGAUGAUAUGUGAUGAAAACAGCAUGGAGGGUGCGGGCUACCUGGGAGAGUAUCCUGGUCUAACAGUCACUUUCCAGUUAUAGUCCUUGAAAAUCAUCAUCACCAAUACAGAUGGGCCAGAACCAGACCCUGAAUCCAAUCCCACCACUUUGGUUUGUUCCAAAUCCAGCUCCGAGUCUGAAUUUUGCAGCUUGAACCCACCUCUGCUUCAUUCACACUUUACAUCUUUAAAGCACUUUACCCGCAGUGAGCCAGUUUCCACACUCAGUUACACCAGUGAAAAUCAGCAGUGCCUGCCUCAAUGGAUUUAUACCAGGAUGAGUGAGAGCAGAACCUGGCCUCCUCCUCAAUACUCACAAGGCUCCUGUGAGGUUGGUCAGUAUUAUCUCCAUUUUGCAGGCUGGGAAACCGAGGCACAGAGCGAUGAAGUGACUUCCCUGAGGCCAUGGAGGGAGUCCAUGUCUGAGCUGGGAUUGGAGCGCAGGAGGUUCUGGCUUCCUGCCUCAGGCUUUCCUUACUCCAAGUGACUCCAACAAAAUGGCUUUUUGGUGCACUUGUCUCACGGAGCUUACCCCUAGUUUCUGCCCCACUGACUCCAAAUUGGGUGAGUGUCAGCCUCUUCUUUGUAUCUCUGCCAUCACAGAGCUGGGAGGCUUGUAACUCAGCCCAGGGGCGGAAUGGUACAGACAGGAUCACGGGAAAGCAGAGAGCCCCUCCACUACCAGCCCCAGUGACUUAACUUCUCCAUAAUUAAUUAAGUGCUUCUGUAUGUACGGCCAUCCACUGGGGCCUCCCAAAUACAGAUUAUCUACCUCAGUGCGGACGCAGGAAACAUUACAAGUGAGUCCAGGAGACAAUACAUCUUCGCUGUCUGACAUAAUGUAAAUGAUGGCUGGCUUGCAUGGCACCCAGGCCAGGUCUGAUUCCCAGAAAGCUGAGCGGAACUGUCUGCUUGAGGCGCUCAGGAUUCUCAGUUCCAGCCACAGAGAUGCCCAUUUCCAGGUGGACGAGGCGACUCAGAGCCAGGAGCAAAAGGCCUUCUCAUUUGCACAGCAGAGCAAAGAGCAGUGCUGAAGAGUCCUUUACCCUGCAGCAGGGCUCAGAGCAACUGAAUGAAAGGAUGGAGCCAAGGAGAUAUUGCCUAUCUGGACAGGACAUCCUAAGGAAACCAACAAGUGAAUCUUCUGGCAUUCAACAUCCUCCCUCAAGCAGAGGAUGGUCAUUAAUAGAAAUGGGUCUCUGCUCAGUAUCCUACGAGAGCCUUAUGUUUUGCUUCUUGCAGUAGAUUAACAUUAUCAUCAUUUAUAUAGCGCCAGAAGCGUACAUGGCAUCAUUCAACGAGGCCUGUGCCAAACAAUUAAGAAGUCUGUGCUCUGAGCAGUUGAUAGAGUGCAGAUAAUACAGUCCAAACCAGACUGCAUGGGGCAUGAUCAUGAGAGCAGGUGUGCUUCAUGGACUGCGGGGAGAGGGAGUCGUAGAGGGGGUUUGAACCACCAGGGAGGAAGUUUGGUGUACACUGCUUGGGAGGCUGUAGAGGACUUUACAGGAUGCUACCAGUGGUCUUUGUUAAUGUUAAGAAAUGGGAUCUGAACCCCAGCUGCCUCCCUAGCAUCUCCCAAGCAAGGACCUCAAUGUGCUUUACAAAUGAGAGAAUUCUACCUCCCAGAAGGGAGAUUGCAAGUGGUAUUCCAGAUGGACACACCUGGACUGAUCAGAGGUUAAACCAUGCCUGGGAAAGCAUCAAGCAGCAUCUCUGAGUCGCUUUGGCUCCAAGGGACACCUGAGCAGGGUUGAAAAUAAAGGCUCACAGAUGGCAGGAGGGGAAAGCAGUGGUAAUACGCGAAAGCCCAUGAGGCAGUGGAAGCUCUCAUUAGCCACCCUACAAACUGGAGCGUUUAGCCUUUGAGCCCUGGCACCGGGAGAAGCUGUCCAGAUACCGAGGCGUUGCACAGGACAGCCACUUGACCAGAGUGUUUAAUAAUAAGGCUGGACGCGGAGCUGAAGGUCGGUGACCCUGUGUACAAGCAGGGCGUCAGUGUCUGCUGUAGCGGCAAGAGGGAAAUGUUGAUGAGUAAAGGAGAGCCUAGAGAUGAGGAUUAAAACGGAGCUUUGCAGAGCUGCCCAAGUUUGUGAAAACAAAGUUGAGCAGUUUCUGUCUAGCGAGUGAUCGCUCCCUGCAGAAAGCACAGUGCCCUGAGCAGGGCAGGUUGAGAAAGUCAGACCUAGGAAAAGGUUGGGGAGCUGGAAAGUGCGGGGGCCAUCUGCACAGGAGGAGAACAGACUCAAUGACCUGAAUGGCUUUUGCCAUCAUGCGUUGCAAUGGCUUGGGAUUCAGCAUGUAGGGCUCCAACCUGUACAGGGUCUCAACAUUCAUCGACUCCAGUCAAUGGAGUCACUGCAGUCAAUGGAGCUGGGCCAGUCUGUACCAGCUGAGGAUCUGGCCCUCUGGCCCUGAGCUGUGUCCAUCUGGGAUGAACCAAGUCUACUGAUCUCCUCUCAGGAGAGGUGUCCUGAUGCCAUGGGCCUUCUUGUGUUUGGGAUGCGAGGCAGUGAAGAGUUCUUGCUCAUCUUCCCAUCCUCACAAGCCUCCCAUUCCCAUGACCCAGGGCUCUGGCUGACUUCUGGAGGCCAAGCGCUUCCUAGAGAGAUGGAGUCAGAGUUUUGCCUGUGCCCUUAGUCACCCUUGGCCGAGGACAGAGCGACAUGAUUGCACCAUACAGGACUGGCUGAGACAAUGAUGCAAUGAAGAGGAAGGAAGGAUGGUUCUGAUGACCUCUCCUCAACCCCCGCACAGCGCUAGUCGAAAUUUCUGUAGGAUCUAAAGCCACAUCCACACGCAGACACCAUUAGCAGAGGGGCCAGGGAUGGAACGGCCCAUGGACGCUGAGCCCCGUGCCCGGUCUCUUCAGGAUGGAGGGGAGAAGAGAAGCUUGCCCUACUGCUGCCCAAUCUGAGCCAGUUGAGUGGAUGGACAGGUGCCUCUAUCUCCCAGGGCUGUCAAUCAGCCAACCCCCACCAGCACCACCUGACAAAGGAAAUUUACCCAAGCCCAUGGACCUGCUGCAGAGAUCUGCUUCCCCGGCAGCAGCCGGGUAUGAAGAGAGUCUCACUCUGCCCGCCCCCAAAGCCUUAAUGAGGCAGAGGCUUCCUGUCCCCUGAACUGACCCCACAUGGGACGCAGAGCUAGGGAAGUACAAGGAAACCCUGCGCCAAACAGCCAGGACACAACAGGGUCUGGGGACUUCAUGUCACCCAGUGUGGCUCCUCCUCCCAACUCAGGAAAGUGACCAAUCAUGAAGAGAGCUGAAGCACUGCUAGCCCUCGGAGACUGGUUAGCUUGGACUGUGAAUGGCACAAAAAGCCUUUUAACUGGAGGCCCCCAGUUUGGAUCUGGCCCAGGGUGAUGGUGACCCGAAGUCUUCACCACAUGGUGGCUGCUCAGGCUGUUCACUGCAGUUCCUAGGACACAAGUGCCCUCAUCCCAGACCAGCCUCGGAUACAGAUUAUCCACCUUGUUGGCAGGCUCAGCGAGGAGACCAGGGACUGAAUGGGUCGUGGAGACCGAAUUCCCCUCUCAGCGCUGGAAGGGCAGAGCUGAGGGGUCUCAUCAAAGGGCACUGGGUGGUAAGGGGGAAGCUUGCCCUGCAGCCACCACCCAUGCAGUGCCUGCUCUGAGGAGAGGGACCCCAAGGUUCCAGGGCUGCCAAGCCAGCACCUACUCAAACCCAUCGCUGCACCUCAAGCCCUUCUCAAACAGGUCACGGAUUCAGCUUGGAAAUGACCUGGAUGAAUGGGAGGGGCUGGGGUAAAGAAAGCCCCUUCAGUUGGCCAGGGUUAUCUACCCCUCCCUGUGGUGCACAUCCUCCCGGUCCAGGCUGGGUAACCAUCCAGCAGCGGCGUUCACGGCAUCAUCCCUGAGAGGUGUUCAAGCAGGAACAACAAUAAAUCAAACCACCAGAUCUAUCCUAAGGGUGCAGGGCUUCCAAACCCAGCCAGACUGGGCACUCACACCACCCGGCAAGGAAUGACCGGGCAUCAAUUUUUCUCUAACGAUAAGAGCAUCAAGCAGCAUUUGCCUGCACCUAUCCCAUCUUGGGUGUGACUCUAUGGGAGAUCACAUGCUAAGCAGCCCUGGGUCAGUUCAGUUAGUUGCCUGGGGAAGAAAAAACCCAGGAUAUUGCUCUUCCUUCUGAAUCAGAACUGAAUGCCAUGCCCCUGUAUGGCAGGGUAGGGGCUGCUGUGUAGCUGGAGGCUCCCUCUUUCCCGAGACAACACAGGUCCUUACACACGCAUGGCCAUCAGAGAUUUCACAGCACUUCUUGCAGGAGCCAAGGCAUUCACCCCCACAUCCUGACUAGAUUCCAGUGGGGUAAAUCCCCCCCUGCAUUUCCAGCUGGGACACAGGAUUUUUCAGCACUGCACUGCACUGUUAAACAGCUGCCAUGUUCCACCCCCGAGGUGGCUGUACUUCAUUGUUGCUCCAUGCAGGUCAACGGUACAUAGCCUGCAAAGCAUUUUGGGACUGUUCCCACGGAAAGGCGCUAGAGGAGUGCAGAGUCAUUACCAUUGCUAGAGACUGCAACAGAAUAUUGCCCCCUUUGAUGGGAAUUAACCAUCUACCACAAAUAUCCUGUCUGACGGAGCAUGGCUGAUAGGAUUAUUUAUUGCCUCAGGCUAGGCACAGGUACCCAGUGGUGAAGCUGCCAACCAGUGAGCAGCUCUCUGCAUCGAUGUGUCCAUAAAUUACCCACUGAACCCAUUAGGGAACCAGGAAGUUUAGGAGGGAGCCAACUUCAGAGGGGAGUGGAAGUGGAGCGCGUCCCUGCAAGUGGGCUGGGGCCAGGCAGCGCGCAAUUAAUCCUCGUUAAUAAUGUCGCAAACAGAAGCGCUCACAUGGUGCACGAAGUGGAACAGAUGCACUCACGCACCUCAGGGGCAUCUUCUAGGGGCCCGCUUCUCCACGUUCCCUCCCAGCCAGCUCCAACGUCUCUCUUUCUCUCUCGGUGAAUCUUUCUCAUUUUUCCUUCACUGCUGCUCUUCCUCUUUCUGGAUUCCUUCCUUUGUCUCUUUCUUUGUGUAUGUUUGCUUCAUCCCUUCCCCCCCCUUUUUCUUUCUCCUCCCCGUCUUUCCUUUCCUUCUCUCCGAUUUUUUCCUUUCCCUUCUCUCUUUCCUUCUCCUCUUUCUGUCUCCCCGCCACAUAGGUACUUCCCUAGGAAGAUGCUCCUCAUACUGUCAGCAAAAUGUCAGCAUCAAUCAGCCAAGCCGGAAAUCACUGGGGACUUCUAAACAAGUCUCCGCUGAUGUUUGGAAUUCCCGCCUGCCCCGGUGCAGGCUCUGAUGGCUGGUGAAACCCGAUGGCUCUCUUCAGCACAUUAUUGUUUGAGACUGCACGAUGCCCCUGAAAUCCCAGAACCAAGACCAGGAAAGGAAAAGCAGUUUCGGGCACUUACCCAGCUGACACACAGAGAGAAACUCUGCCUCACCAAGGCCCGAUAUAAAUAUGCAACUCUUAAAUGAAUAAUAAAAUAAUUACCACCUAGUGCAGUGCCAUGAUUAGCAGGCCUGCUGGGUGACUUCACCUGUCGAAAUAAGUUGAUGGCAGCAAUUUUCAGCAGGAACAAUAGACAGAAUUUGAUGGAGCUUGAGUUCCCAACAAUAGUCCCAGAUCCAGAGAUGCAGGGCCUCAUUUUUCAUUAUACUGUGGCCACCUUGUACCAUUCCGGCAGCGUAAUGGGUGUGUCCAGCCAACAGA